UACGUAGGGUGCGAGCGUUAAUCGGAAUUACUGGGCGUAAAGCGUGCGCAGGCGGUUUUGUAAGUCAGAUGUGAAAUCCCCGGGCUCAACCUGGGAAUGGCAUUUGGGACUGCAAGGCUGGAGUGUGGCAGAGGAGACUGGAAUUCCUGGUGUAGCAGUGAAAUGCGUAGAUAUCAGGAGGAAUACCGAUGGCGAAGGCAGCCUUCUGGGCCAACACUGACGCUCAUGCACGAAAGCGUGGGGAGCAAACAGG
rnacentral:rRNA from 1 species